GCGGCUUUAGCUCACUUGGGAGAGCGUCAGACUGAAGAUCUGAAGGCACUGUGUUCGAUCCACAGAAGCCGCA
rnacentral:tRNA from 4 species